AUACGGAGGACGCGAGCGUUAUCCGGAUUCAUUGGGUUUAAAGGGUGCGCAGGCGGCCGUGCAAGUCAGCGGUGAAAGCCCGGGGCUCAACCCCGGAAGUGCCGUUGAUACUGCAUGGCUGGAAUGCGGUCGAGGCGGGCGGAACGUGGGGUGUAGCGGUGGAAUGCGUAGAUAUGCCACAGAACGCCGAUAGCGGAGGCAGCUCGCCAGGCCUGCAUUGACGCUCGGGCACGAAAGCGUGGGGAUCGAACAGGAUUAGAUACCCUGGUAGUCCACGCCGUAAACGAUGGGCGCUCGUCGUCGGCGGCAGACAGUCGGCGGCCAAGCGAAAGCGAUAAGCGCCCCACCUGGGGAGUACGGUCGCGAGGCUGAAACUCAAAGGAAUUGACGGGG
rnacentral:rRNA from 1 species